CGGCAGCCCAAGUGGUGACCGUUUUUAUUGAGCCUAAAGCGUCCGUAGCCGGACUAGUAAACCCUUGGGUAAAUUGGGCAGCUUAACUGUCCAAAUUCCGAGGGGACUGCUAGUCUUGGGACCGGGAGAGGUCAGAGGUACUCAAGGGGUAGGGGCUAAAUCCUGUAAUCCUUUGGGGACCACCAGUGGCGAAGGCGUCUGACUAGAACGGAUCCGACGGUAAGGGACGAAACCCUGGGGCGCGAACCGGAUUAGAUACCCGAGUAGUCC
rnacentral:rRNA from 1 species